rnacentral:rRNA from 1 species
UACGUAGGGGGCAAGCGUUGUCCGGAAUUAUUGGGCGUAAAGCGCGCGCAGGCGGUCUCUUAAGUCUGAUGUGAAAGCCCACGGCUCAACCGUGGAGGGUCAUUGGAAACUGGGGGACUUGAGUAUAGGAGAGGAAAGUGGAAUCCCACGUGUAGCGGUGAAAUGCGUAGAUAUGUGGAGGAACACCAGUGGCGAAGGCGACUUUCUGGCCUACAACUGACGCUGAGGCGCGAAAGCGUGGGGAGCAAACAGG